UAUGUCUUUAAAAAUGAUCACGGUCAUUUAGUUGAAUGGGCUUAAGCCUUAAACGAAACACACACGCUUAUUCUCUCCGUUCCUUUCACUCAAAAGUGUUCUUCAAUUGAAGAAAAAAAAUAUAUAUAUAUUUAAGUGAAAUAUACCGUCCGUGAAGGAGGAACGAAUCGUUAUAAUUUCUUUGUGAUGGAGUCCACUACUACCACUACAAUAUCACCUACCCUCUCCUUGGCUGAAGAAAAACCCCUCUCUAUCUCCAUGACUGCGGCUAUUUUAUAUGGGGGAUCCUGCGUUUUAUUUUGUAUAUUCACCUGCUUUCUAUACUUUUGUAAGCUUGCACUCAUCGAUGCAAGUCCAAAAGAUGAAUCUUCUUCAUCAUCACAUCAAUGCAUUAAAAGAUUCAAAGCAAGCAGCAAGGCGUCAUCUCCUUGUUGAUGAUCGUGAACCUAUAAAUAUCAUAUACAAAGGACAAGACGAAACUACAGCUCUGCUUACUCAAUUAUUUCGGAAGACAGAUGUUUACAGACCAUUAUUUUAGUUUUGUAUGAUAAAUAACAAAUGUUUCCCAUCAAGUUUUUGAGGGGAAAAAAUGCUAUGCAAAUGGAAAGUGUUCUUAUGGAGCAGCAAUUAUUUGACAGAAAAAAUAAGUAUAUAUUCGUGUUGUUUUUUUAAUAAUAUAUAUCAUGUAUAAGCUAAA
rnacentral:lncRNA from 1 species